rnacentral:rRNA from 1 species
GAUGAACGCUGGCGGCGUGCCUAAUACAUGCAAGUCGAGCGAAUGGAUUAAGAGCUUGCUCUUAUGAAGUUAGCGGCGGACGGGUGAGUAACACGUGGGUAACCUGCCCAUAGGACUAGGAUAACUCCGGGAAACCGGGGCUAAUACCGGAUAACAUUUUGAACCGCAUGGUUCGAAAUUGAAAGGCGGAUUCGGCUGUCACUUAUGGAUGGACCCGCGUCGCAUUAGCUAGUUGGUGAGGUAACGGCUCACCAAGGCAACGAUGCGUAGCCGACCUGAGAGGGUGAUCGGCCACACUGGGACUGAGACACGGCCCAGACUCCUACGGGAGGCAGCAGUAGGGAAUCUUCCGCAAUGGACGAAAGUCUGACGGAGCAACGCCGCGUGAGUGAUGAAGGCUUUCGGGUCGUAAAACUCUGUUGUUAGGGAAGAACAAGUGCUAGUUGAAUAAGCUGGCACCUUGACGGUACCUAACCAGAAAGCCACGGCUAACUACGUGCCAGCCGCCGCGGUAA